GCGGCGCCGUCCGGUGCCCGGGCGGGGUGCCGCAGUCCGCGGCCCGGGUGCCCCCGUACCACCGCACCGCGACUCGGCUGGCUGAUCUCUCGGAGAGCCCGUAACUAAAACACACCAAAAUGUCGGACGAAGAAUACUCAUCUGAGGAGGAGGUCAGCGAGGAGGAGGAGGAGGAGGAGGUCCCAGAGGCCAAGGAAGAAGAGGCACCGGCGCAAAAGCAGGAAGAGAAGAAGGAGAACAUUUUCACGCAGCGGCAGGAGAAGAAGAACACAGAGCUCGACGAGCAGCUGAAGGAGUACAUCGCGGAAUGGCGCAAACAGAGGGCCAAGGAGGAGGAGGAGCUCAACAAGCUCAAGGAGAAGCAGGCCAAGCGCAAGGUCCUGCGCGCCGAGGAGGAGAAGCGCCUGGCCGAGGCCAAGAAGGCCGAGGAUGAGCGCCGCUACCGCGAGGAGCAGGAGAAGAAACAGCGCGAGCAGGAGGAGAAGAAGCGCCGGCUGGAGGAGGCCGAGAAGAAGAGGCAGGCGCUGGCCCAGGCGCAGAAGGCCGCCGCCGGAGGAAAGGCCAACUUCAAGGUCGGCAAGAAGGACGAUAAGCUGUCCAACAUCCAGGCUGCCAAGAACGAGAUCAGCAAGACCAAGGAGCAGCUGGCAGAGGAGAAGAAGAUUGCCCUCAGCAUUCGCAUCCAGCCUCUCAAAGUCGAUGGUCUCGGUCUCGAGGCGCUGAAGAAGAAGGCGGAGGACAUGUGGAACCAGAUCGUGAAGCUGGAGACGGAGAAGUACGACCUGGAGGAGCGCCAGAAGAGGCAGGACUACGACCUUAAAGAGCUCAAAGAGCGACAAAAGCAGCAGCUGCGACACAAAGCCCUUAAGAAGGGGCUCGAUCCCGAGGCCCUGACCGGCAAGCACCCGCCCAAAGUGCGUUUGGCGUCCAAGUUUGAGCGGCAGGUUGAUAGGCGCACAUUCUCCGAGAAAACCCAUCUGUUCGAUGGUGUGAGUGGAGUUACCGGAAGGCGUUUGUGCUGGAGUAGCCGUACACCCUUUGCAGAAGUCGUAGGCAGCGGUUCGUGAGUGUAGUCGCAGUUCAGAACCGCACGGAUCGCAGUGAGGAGCAGUCAGUAGUCCGGGUGGUAGCUAGGAGUCUAUCGCGCCCGGUAGUCGGCGGGAGUCUAUCGUUCCAGGGUAGGUAGUCGUUAGGGGUCGUCAGGCCAGCAUGCUGACUGGCAGUGUGGUGCUGUGUUCUAGCCCAAGAUCCGAGUGGCGUCCAAGUUUGAGAGGACCAUCGACCAUCGCUCGUAUGGCGAUAAGAUGAACCUCUUCAACGGCGGCUUUGAAGCUAAGGAGAAGGAAGAACAGGACAAAAUAUGGACCGUCCGAUUGAAGGACUUCGGUGAUCGGGCAAAGACGCGGCUGCCAAAGUGGUUCGGCGAGCGACCCGGUAAGAAGACCGACGAUCCUGAAACUCCUGAGGAGGAGGAGAAGGAGGAGGAAAUGGCGCCGCCGGCCGACGAGCCGGAGGAGGAAGAGGAAGAAGAGGAGGAAGAGGAGGAGGAAGAGGAGGAAGAAGAAGAGGAAGAAGAGGAGGAGGAAGAGGAAGAAGAGGAAUAAAUUCAACCCAGCGUAUGCUUCAAGUCUGUGUACCAUUGUCGCUCAACCGUGUCUCCAUGUCAACUUCAACGUAACUCCUGCUACUGCCUUCUCGUCGCGGGCGCCGCGGCGGCCGAUCCACUGACGUCAUCAAAUCGACCCAGUGACGUCACAGGCCGGCUCCGUGUCACCGCGGCGACCCUAUCCCGGCUCUCAGCUCAUCCAGUGCCGGAAACACACCGAAAUUCAUACUCAUGCGCCAACGGGCGGGCGUGGCGUGCGGCCCGUGUAACACCGGUCUGUCGGUCACGUGUGAGGUCAGGUCACCCGGGUGGGUGGGGCCAGCGCGCGGCGGGACCCAGCCACCGUUCUGCGCCCCGGCCCGGCCCGCCCGGUCACCGGAGAGGCAGCCUGGGCAGCGCCCGGGCGCCCCAGGACCCCGCACGAGCUCCAGCCGCCGCGGACUUGGUGAUUGCCAUCAAUACACAUCUCGGUACGGGA